AUGGACAUCGAGGGCACCACCACCCCCAUCUCCUUCGUCGCCGACGUGCUUUUCCCCUACGCAUGUGCCAACGCCCGCGCCCACCUCGCCGCCACAUACCACACCCAGCAGACCCGGGAAGACAUCGCCCUCCUCCGCGCACAAAUCGACAAGGACCUGGCCGAGGGGGUCCCCGGCGCCGUCCCACUCCCACAGCCCGACGACACCGACCAAGACAAGACCAUCGACGCGCUGGUGGCCAACGUGCAGGCCAUGAUCGACGCGGACCGGAAGCUCACGGCGCUCAAGCAGCUGCAGGGCCGCGUGUGGCGGCGGGGCUUCGAGAGCGGUGAGAUCAAGGGGGAAGUCUACGACGACGUCGUCCAAGCUCUCGCGGAGUGGGACCGCAAAGGGGUUAAGAGCUACAUCUACUCCAGCGGGAGCAGGGAGGCGCAGCGGCUCAUCUUCGGCAACACCGCCGCCCACGGCGACCUCCGGCGGUAUCUCUCCGCCUUCUUCGACACCAACGUCGGAGGCAAGAAAGAGUCUCGCAGUUACUACGAGAUCUGGCAGACCCUCGGCGUCGACAGCCCGUCCCAGAUACUCUUCCUGACCGAUGUCCACCAGGAAGCCACCGCCGCAAGGGAUGCAGGUCUUGAGGUGCUAAUAUCGAUCAGGCCUGGAAACGCGCCGCUUCCUGAGGAUCACGGCUUCCAGACCAUCACGUCGUUUGCUCAAAUCGCCACCUGA
rnacentral:rRNA from 1 species